GACGAACGCUGGCGGUGUGCUUAACACAUGCAAGUCGAACGGUAAGGCCCUUUCGGGGGUCCACGAGUGGCGCACGGGUGAGUAACACGUGAGUAACCUGCCCUCAUCUCUGGGAUAACAGUCGGAAACGGUUGCUAAUACUGGAUAUGAGCUUGCAAGGCAUCUUGUGGGUUGGAAAGAUUUUUUUGGUUGGGGAUGGACUCGCGGCCUAUCAGCUUGUUGGUGAGGUAGUGGCUCACCAAGGCUUCGACGGGUAGCCGGCCUGAGAGGGCGACCGGCCACAUUGGGACUGAGAUACGGCCCAAACUCCUACGGGAGGCAGCAGUGGGGAAUAUUGCACAAGGGACGGAAGUCUGAUGCAGCAACGCCGCGGGCGGGAUGACGGCCUUCGGGUUGGAAACCGCUUUCAAUUGUGACGAAGCUUUUUGUGACGGUAGCAGUAGAAGAAGCACCGGCUAACUACGUG
rnacentral:rRNA from 1 species